rnacentral:misc_RNA from 1 species
AUUUAAUUUUUCUUCUUUUUUAGAGGGAGAAUGCGUGAGAGAGUGUGUAUGCAAAUUUCAGUCUGAAGAGUACUUCAUUUUUGGAAGAGUGUUAGUAAACAGGGAGAGAAUGCAUGAGAGAGUGAUUUGAGUAUGCAAAUUUCAGUCUGAAGAGUACUUCAUCUUUGGAAGAGUGUUAGUAGAGUAAACAAUUGAAACCUUAACGCAUUGAUUGCUUUAGUGGAAUUUAAUUUUAAGAAAAUGAUUAUAGAACAAGAAGAAGAAGAAUACUAUUUCUGAUAAGUUACAAUACUAAAUUUUACCCAAUAUAUAACAAGACUACAUACAAAUAUUUUAAGUACAUAUUAAUCUUUCUAAAAUAAUGAAAGUUUCUGCGAAUGCAGCAAUGUAAACUACUGCAUUCUAAUACUUUUGCUAUGACCUUGCCACGUGCUAAGAAUUCCACUCUGGCAGUCAAAGCGUUAGUUUCCAAUAUUGUAUACUUCAACUAUAAGUCUCCAAUACACUCUCCAUAAUCUUCUAAUAUACUCUUCAAUAUACUCCUAUAAUUAUUAAAAUCUAUUCGUCGAUGGAUCAAACCCACAGCGCCAUCUGUUUCCAACAUAUCAAAAAAUUUAGCAAGUAUUUGAAAAGAAAGAGAAUUGUAGAAGGAACACCAUGCAAAGGAAUGCUAUUUGGAACGGUGAAAGUGAAACCGAGCACGAAGCAGAAUUCAAAACCCGCGGGACGCUGAUUCAUAUUUAUACUCUUUAGUUCAUUUUUUUAAUACUUUUAACACGCUAUGACGCACACGUGCCCGAUAUAGCGCAAUUUCCUUUGUGGCAAGGAAAAUCGACAGGAUUUGACCUCAUUUGUCUGUCUUUCGUCAAUGCCAGGGAAAAGAAAACGGAAAAAGUUAUUGCGGUGAACGAAGGACUCCGUUUCAGUUCGCAGGAAACGGAGAAAUCAAAAUGAUAUGUAAUAAAUGAUCCUUGAUAGAUUUCUUUACGCAAUCAUUGAUGAUCGUGAAUCGGUAACAAUUUACUUUCACGUAAUGGCGUCUGCUAUUUCUUCAACUUCAUUUCAGAUAUGUUUCUGUUGCAUUACAUUGAAUAUUAUGGAAUAGUAAUAGAGUCACUGUUGACGUUAUAAAACUUGAGAAGUUUAGAUAAAAAAAUUCAGAUAUUAUUUUUGAAAAUAUGGACUCAUUAGUGAAAUGCUAAAUUUGGAAUAUGUUAAGAAGAAAAUAUAAUUAGUUGUAUAAUAAGGAAGAAUUCACAAGUGCAUUUGUAACGUUUCACAAGUAUUUAAAUAAGUCCUGAAUGUCCAGUCUGAUGUAAAUAAACAUUAAUGGAAGGAUUCGGCAGUAGGUCAUGGCUUUUAUGGUGCCAAAGAACUCGAAUGACCUAUCAAACCUGUUUCUUCGCGGCACGAGGAUUCUUCAUUCACCAGGAAGAUGAUUCGACUUACCUGAAUGUCCUAGACCUUGCGCGAGGGUGAAAGUCGAGGUCGAGAUCUACUCUCAGAUUUGGAUAUCGCUUCACGAACGAUUCAGCUAUAUUUAUCCUAAUUAUCCUCUUGAAAUAUGCUUCUUAUAGUUCACUAAAUUGCCUAAUUUAUUUACAAAGUGCUACAGUGAUAAAUUACUAAACUUAUAUAUCUAACUUACUCUCACAAAUGUGAUAAAUGGGUGCAUUAAAAUAAUUAUAGAUUUAGAGAUCUAGAUAUCAAGAUGUUUAGAUAUUUAGGUAUGUUAGAAUUUAGGUAUCAAAGUAAACCAUGCAGGGAUAAAUUCAAGCAUGUAUGAAUUUGAGAACCUACAAAUUUAGCUAUGAAUUUGAGAACCUAACCAUUCACUUCUACAGUAUAAAUAUAACUACAAAGCUAUUCAAAUCUACUUGUGCAAUCAAAAAUUUUUAUUUGCUUAAAAAUAUUUCAUAGUCUGCUUAUCCGCUACAUAAACCUCAAACAAGGCAAAAAACAGAAAAAGAUCUCUGAUAUAAGAAUAACUGGUAUUUUCACAAAAUUACGUAAUUUCUCUUUCACUGAAUAUUUCAUAUUCCGUUCAAUUUACCAGGGCACAUGCAUAUUUCAUUUUUCUCGUUUUUUUUUCCCCUCGUAGCGACGACGUUUCGAGCCAGGACUAGUUCGAGCAUCGAAAGGAACUUUCACGACAGGAAGAAAUAUUUUGCGUCGCAUUUCGGAGAACCUGAAUGGUUAAUUUUUAUUUCCGGCCGUUGUGGCCCUGUUAGCCAGAAAUUUUCAUACAAUCACACCGAUGGAAAGUUACGGGAGCAGGCUCGCGUUGACCGCAGCCGGUCGAUCCAGUUUUCAUGAUUCCACGGAUCCGGAUCCAGCAGGACGUGUCGCGACAAAUCGGGCACCAUUCCUUUCCGUCGAUGCCACCUGACCUCAUAAUCGUGAUUUUCUAAUUUGUUCGCUCUCCCGCGAGCAAUCCGUCCUGCCUGAUCGCAUUCUUUCCUUGGAUCUCUUUAAUUAAUUACUUCGAGUCACGGUAUUCGUUGAAACACGUAGCAGUGUUUCUACUUUAAUCAAAAAUUUCAAUCUAGCAAUAUUGUUGAUGAGUGUUCAAGAUAAUCAUAUCUUUACUAUGAUGGAUGUCAAACACAGUAAUUGUCUGUGUGUAGCAAUUGUUAUUGUUAUUAGGUAUAUUCUUUGAGACUGUGAGCAAUUAUAUUUUAUAGAGUAAUUGCCAUUGAUGUAGCAAUAAUACUCUACAAGUAAUACUCAUGUAAGAAUAAAGACAUGUAUUGCUACAGCAGCUGCUACUAUCAGCAAUUGCAAUAGGUUAUAGCAGAGUAGUUGCCAUUGGUGUAGCUACAUUACUAUUUGUACAAAUAAUACUUAUAUAAGAAUGAGGACAUGUAGUGGUAUAACAGCUGCUACUAUCAGCAAUUGCAAUAUGUUAUAGCAGAGUAGUUGUACAAAUAAUACUCAUGUAAGAAUGAGGACAUGCACUGCUAUAGCAGAUAUUCUCAGCAAUUGUAGUUACAAUCUUCAGUAAUAUUUUGUAUGACCAUAAGCAGUUUUCAUAUUGCUAAUUGAAUGUGUGAAUAGAUAGUAGGUGAACAUCUAUCAGAUAUUGUAAGGAUAUUAUUAAUGUAUACAAGCAAUUAUCAUAUUGCUGAUUAUAGUAGUAUCUGUAAGUGUAUGAUUAUCAACUCUCUGUAACAUGCUUGAAGUAUUAUAAUGUACUGUCCAUAUUCUUAUUUUCUCUAAAUUUGCACUUUAAUAUCCUCAGCAUUAGACUAACAGUAUUUUAAUUUCCAGAUAGCUGCACUUUCUAAGACACCUAAUUAUCUCAUUAGAGGUGAAAUUAUUCAAGUCGACUGCAACUAUACAUCAUUCUUGCAUCUAUAAGAAGAUCCUUGAAGUUGCAAAAUCAUAGCAAUCACUUUGCAAAGAUUAAGAAACGAAGCCUUUCUCUGAAACCAGGAAUAACUGAAGAUAGUCUCUCGAUCACAGCAUAAGAUUUCACUUUCCGUCUAUGCGGUAAAUCGACCUGUCUUCAUUUGCAAUCGAAGACCUAUCAUUAGCAACGUUGAUUGUGUUGUUUUUCCAAUUUCCGUUCGGAUUUACGUGUGUUGAGAUAAAAAGAGACCCCGCAGAGCAUAGUGGGUAGGGUCCAGCCGUAACACGAACGUGAAAGUAAGAUUCCACUGCACGAGCCUGUAUUUACCUUUGCGAGCUCUUCGUACGUACACACUGGAGAACCCGUUUCGGGAUUUUACACGUUCCAGCGGGCAAACAGGCGUGGACCGUCCCACGGAACCGAUUAGAAAACUUUCUCCAUUGGCCGUGACCUCGAUACCAGCCACGUUUCGGCGAUGACGUGCUGCAAAGGCUCGAUAAGGAAUCCAAUUCCACCGAGGUUCUUCCCAAGUUACGCCAAUGUGGAGAACGCGAAGAUGUGCUAUAGGAAACGUGGAAGAAAGUUUGCAGUGGCUUUUAUUCGGAUUCGUUUGAAUGAAGUUUAAUUCUGAAAUUCCUGAGGAAUCGAAAUAAACAUUAUUGUAGAUCUGAUCAUUGUAGAUCAACACGUUUACGAAUCCAACGCGGUACAAUCAAGCAUCAUUCAAUACGAUGGAACGUGAGCGACGUACGAACGUGGGUUCACGAGUAUUAGGCUGUUUGGAGAGGAUUGAAUAAUGUUUUGAAUGCAGUGUAAUCGCCUCGUGACAGGAAUCUUAACGCAGAACUUGUGUUGAAGAAACUUUAUUUCGGAUGGGACACUUGAGAUACAAUUUAGUUAAAUUAUUCUGAGAUCAUCUGACAUCAAAUACUCUGUAUACUCUGGCCUCAAACGCUGUGAAUCUUGUUCUCAAGAUUCUGGAUCGUCCGUCAAACACUCUGGAUAUUCUAACCUCAAACAUUGUGGAUUCUUUGAAUUGCAACAUUCUGGAUCAUCGGACAUCAAACGAUGAUGCUUUUUGUGGGAUUUUAAUGAGCUGAAGCGGUCAAAUAGCUUGCCAUCUGCUCGUUAAACCGCUUAUUGGUCAUACUCGAAGGAUUACGGCGCUGCAAAGGAUGCUCAUCGAGCUCGAGGAAGAUUUACCCUGACCCACUUCCGGUCAAGUUCAUUGCUCAUCCAUGGCACGCUGGCCUUACCUUGCACGACUGCCAUUCUUCGCCUCUUCCUGAUUCUUUCUCUUGCUCUCUAUUCACCAACCGGCUCAUCUUGCGAAUCUUGACGCCUCCGCUUUGACUAAACAGUAGAGCGAGAAUAGCAUUGAUCAUCGUCCCUCGGUAAAUUAUGCUCGGAGAGUGAAUAUCUCGAAUUGCGAAAUGUAUCGCGGUGUGAAGACAGCCUCGGAUAGUAAUUGAGAAGUAUCAGAUUUAGAAAGUAUGUAUCUUUCACCGUGACUCAUCGUGCUCGUUCAGCUACAUUCUUUAAGAACAAAUUUAUCAAUUGUUAAAUAUCAAUUUGAUUCUUUUAUGUGAAUUGUAAACUUAGGAAUCAAUCAAAAAUAUUUGUAGAGAGGUUAAUGUUUGUAUGGUAAUUAAUCUUCAGAUAAUGAAGUGAUGUUUGAUGCUGUGUUAAUAAUUAUUAUUAAUAUUUAGAGCAAAGUAAUUACAAUAUAGCAACGUUGUACAUAUUGAUAUCUAGAGCAAGACAAUUAGACAAUUAGACUGUUAAUAUCUAAAUACUCUGUUAUUGAUAUCCAGCCCAAUUAGAGUAAUCUUCAAAUGCACGGUAGCAUGUUAAUAAUUAUUGUUAAUACUGCAAUGAGAAAUUCUUAAUGAAUGAAACAUAAUUGAUACCCAAACCGAGCAUAAAUUCACCGAAAAAGGACACCAUGAUUUCAAAUGCAAAUACAAGUAUUUAUGAUGCAUAAACGGUAAAGUUCCUUUUCAUACUAAUCAGAUAUUCAUUAAGCUCAUUCAUGUUGCGAUCACAUAAAUUACCCUUAAUUGCAGCGCAUUUGUUUUCAAUUAUCCAGGAGUCCGUAUUUUAAUAAACGAGGAUCGAAUCGUGCCACGUGUCCAGAAUCGAAGGCAAUUUUAACGAACAGUCUACUUGCGGAAGCGUUUAUUACCUGCGUCACGAACACCUGUUAAAAACUCAUCGCGGAAGUUCCGACGGUGGCUGCCAAUAAAGAAAGAAAAUCGAGGUUUCAUAAAGUGCAUCCUGACACGAGCGGAAACGAGUAAACAGGAAGGAUUGCGGCAAUUCGUGAAGGACCUUUCCGUGGUAUACGACAGAAGAGUCAUCCUGUGUUGUGCAAUUUUAAUCGAACCGCUAUGGGACAAUUCAGGCUCCUCAAGGAACGAAUAUACGGGAUGUUGAGGAAAAGGUAUCAAGUUCGAAGAUAAAAUUUUUCUUUCGUCACAUGGGUGCAGCGUGAAUCGCGAAUUACAAAAUGCACGAGACAAUGGGGAAGACGUAUUAUCUCGCAUAGGUCUUAUUUAGCACACAAGGAGGACGAAGGGAGGUGAUUUUCAACGCAUCAAACAUUGGCUCAAGUACGUGGGAGAAGAGGAGGAGGCCCCAGUGUAAUCAUCAGCAUGCCGUGUAUCCGGGCAUUCAAUUCGAGGAUUCUCCUCGCCCUCCUUCGGGGAUCUUCUUCAUUGUGCAUACGUCUCCUCUUAGCGCUUUCGCAACGUGAACGGCCAGGACCAGGAUCCAAUCAUUAGGGGAAAAAUGCGCAUCCCAACAAAACGAUCGGAAGUGUAAUCGAUUCUUAGCGGAUAAAGAUUGAUGUUACGACAGUUAAUUGUAGGGUGAUAAUUUUCUCCAUUCAAAUCGCAUGAAGGAUAUUGCGUGAUAAUAAUAGCACGAGAGAUGCAUUUAAUGUUUUCAUCGCUUCCGAAGGAAUUGUGCUUACUGCUAAUUAUUCUGUAAUUAGAGAAAUGAAAGAGAACCUUUGUACUAAGCAUAUUACCAGAGGUCACCGCCUCCUUGGAAUGCGUGAUAUAAUACACUUAAGACUGAUGUCGCCAAGGAAGUCUACAUGUGUUUCUUGACAGGAAGCAAAACCAUAUGACACCUUUGUCGAAGACAGUCCUCGAUGCCAAUAAUGAAUAUCGAUGGAGAAGUUACAUAACGAUCCAGAAAACGCUUUAGAGUGUAUCGGACACAUAAUAGAGGAAUUCCUGUUGGGUUACGUGGAUAGAGCGUAAGAAAUCGAAUGGCAAUCAGUCGUGGUGGAACGAUCGCAAAAAAGUGAAUUGAACGGUGAUCAAGCCUCACGCUCUAUUGUCAGGAAAUGCAUUGGCGUCGCCGCACUAUAGCGGCUAUUAUCGGGUUUUCUUACUGUAUAUCACGCUGUGAAGGGAAGUGGCUUUCCCUGCCCUUGUUUCGAAACUGUCAUAUCCCUUGCUUUAUUGCCUCUUCAAAUGAUGAAAAUCUUUCAUCAUUAUCAGGAUUUGAUUACCCGUUUCCUUUCAUUAAUCUUCAAGAUUAUAAUAGGAGGAAGAUUAAUAUCUUUGUGGUAAUAUUUCAAAUUAUGGGAAUCUGAUAAUUAUCAUCUUGUGUUUCAAAUUAUUAUCCGCAAAAAAUGUAUUAAUGUUACAUGGUUGUACUCAUUGCUAGGAAUAUUUGGAUACAGGUUUAUUUGAAAUAUCAUAAGUGUCUGAUACUUGUGUCCUGAGUGCCGACCGAGUGACUGACCCACGAUUCCUUUGAGAACUUGCAUAACCGAGCCACGUACUACAACCGCCUCUCACUUCGUUUGAUACUGUCCGAUUUUAUUCGGGCUAACAUGUGCCUCGUACACCGAGGUUGAAAUUCGUCCAGCAGGCUGUGACGACGCUUGCAUAGUUUACCAGAAGAAAUUCAGUGCGCCUAUAAUGUUACACUGAUUUAUUUUACUACCGAAUUAGGCUUUGCUAUUGUGUUAUACUAAUGUCUGCGUGCUUAUCCGCUGAUGUGAUUCUAUGAUUUAUAGUACUGUAUUGUUAUACUCCUAAAGCGGUAAACUAGUGAAUCAGAUUUACUAUUACCCUGCUACAGGAUUAUUCUAUUACGUAGAUCUGUAGUAUAGAUUAACUGCUAUGAGUAAUAGCUCUCUGCUCUAUUGUAGUAUCUUAGUAGUUCAGUAGUAUUGUAGGCAUGAUGUAGUAAAUAUUAAUGAUAUAGAAUGAAAGAAUGUAACUUUAGUAGUAUCAUAAAAUGGUACUGAAAUACUAAAGGGUUAUAAUGAAUUAGACAUAUCUCAUAAAGUAUACAAUUGUCUGUGCUUGCAGAAAAGUAGGCUUUCAUUAUAGCAUAUGUAGUAGCCUAACUGUAUAGUAGUGUACAAUAAUUAUGCUAUAAGUGCAGGUUACAUAUACAAAGUGCUGUACCCAUUAGUACUCUAGUCCAUAAACAUUGUAAAAGGCAAAUGAAUUGAGUCAAUGUUUAACAAUUACAGGAGCAUCUACAAGGGAAAGCAUUAAUAAGAGCACAAUUCUACCAGGCAGGAAAAUCCAGCGUUUCGAACGGUUUAUUGAAUUCUGAGCGUAGAAAACGUUCGUCAAACUUUUAGAGCAGAAAAGAAAACUAUUAAAAGCGCUGCGACUGUAACUGGAUGGUAUCGAGUGCCGGUAAUGGAAACACUUUUACAACCGACAUUUUAUCAAUUUCUAAUUACACGCGUAAACGUUGCGAGAACGAAUAAUAAAAUGGAAAAACGUUUCCUUCAUAUUAGCACGGUACUUUCUACUUUUUGAGUCAACUUGACCUUACUGCCCUCUGGUACGUUGGUCUUUCAUUCUCUAAUGAAAAUACGUUAAAAAUAAUAUUCUUGGGAAUUUAACUAACUUUCGAUGUACAACCUCGUAUUUUCUCCUCGCAAUUCGGUGUAUUUAAUUAACAGAAUUUAACAGUGCGUGGACACUUUCACCGCGUCACCCAUAGCUCUUUGCUUUCCAUCGUGCUGGAAUUGGCAAAUUAAUGUCUAUUACGAAGGCUGCACGCGUCUUCCUGAUCGACGAAUGACAGAUAGAAAUCAGAACCGUAUUCGUUAUGAAAGGUCAUUUUUCUGCAUGGCUAUUCCGAUAUCUAUCUAGUCAUUCACACUUCUUUAAUAAUACAGGAAUUCAGUACUAUUGUACAAGUGCUCAGAACAAUCUUUGAGUGUGGAUUAUACUGUACAGAGAAGAGAUUUUUCAGUGAAAGCAAACGGUAGCUAAAGGAUCAAAUCGUAACGUUUGAUCGAUGCAUCGUAUUCAGUCAGCUCCAUGAAAUGAAACUUUGUUGUCCUAUGUACGUGAAACGUGUUCAACUUCUGCAAAUCCGGACAGGUUUGAUUGCGCAAAGAUGUUCGUUGCCAUUGCCGACAUAUUGUGCGCCUUGUGUGGCAGAAUUGCCAUAUUGGACAUUUGGAACUUCUGAGGAUGCGAAAUUUUCAUGUGUGGGAACUUGAGGAUGUGCACAUUUGAAAAUUUAGGAAACUUGAGAGUUUGGAAAUUAGAAACAUAUGCAACUGUAUAAAUUAUUGUUCUAAAGCCGCCCAAGACAAAGAGUGGGACUCGUGUUUGAUGGACAGUAUCAGCUGGAAAAAGCUACUUAUCUGGAAUUGUCUCAGGCAUAUACCGGUUCGCCAAGGGGCCAAUCGAAGGAGAGGCUUUCUCCUGGAUCACGGUCUGUCGGUGUUCCUUCGCACGGAGUCUCCACAACUUCUGGAGGGGAUAUCUAUAUAGUCUGUCCAUUCCGGCUGAGCCCCUUCAAACUGUUCACGAUCCUAAGCCCGUGUACGCGUAUUGCCAGCCCGUGUAUCUAUCGAGAUCAAUCGCGAUUUAACCGGUGCUCUCCACGAGAUCCUCUUUGAGAAGUUACCGGCGAAAGAACAAACAGAGGAGAAAAAAGGUUACCGCGGUAGAGAGAGGCGUGUAAAGGGGCAUGGCUCGAGCGUGGUGCGUUGUGAGAAAGUGCAACAGAGAACAGUAACGCGCGAAACGUAACCGAGUCGUGAGGUUUUUGACCGGAAGUCGGAAAGGAGAGACGCGGGAGUUGCUUGAGCAGUACGCUGGUACAGGAUAUACUCUGCACCAUGAUCGUGCAGAGGUGUCUAUUGGCAGCACCGAUCUGCUUGCUCCUGUCGAUUAAUUUCGUCAGGAUCGAAGCCGAACGAUGGUCAAGACAGGUGUCGAACAGUGAAUGGAUUCCAUUGGCGAACCCCAGGGCCACUCAGACCCAGAUCGAGCAAAGUAGCCCACCUGCACUACUGGCAAGCGGCUCUGCACAAGUGCCGCAACUUCCACAAUUGUCCUUGCCACCUCCUCUUCAACAACAGUACCAAGAACAACUUCUGCAGCUGCAGAAGACGCAAGAGAGCAUACAGAAGCUACUGCUGUUGCAGCAACAGUUGAAGGCCCAACAGCAACUUCUUCAGUCCCAGACAUUCCUGCCCAGCGGAUUCAGCAGCACAGAAGAGGAUAAGCAACUGCAUCACAGUGGAUUAACAAACUCGCCAACGUUGCCCGACGCCGCGUCUGAGGAUUUGGUGCCACCCCUCCCAGCAUCGGAAGCGUUGCCACCGGUGUUUCCGGCGCAGAACUUCUACCAGCAGCGACCUCGACCUCCGGCACUGCCGAAGCAGGACCUUCCUCAAGAAUUUGCGAGCUUGUCCGGCCAAGAAUUCAAAGGUCAACUGUUGCCACAAGGUCAGAACCUUGGGAACAUUGGGCAGAUAGAUGAGAGCCAGAGGCAGGGAGCGAAACACCUAACUGAAAGUUUACCGCCAGCUCAGGAUGAGGAGGAAGAGGUACAGUUGGUUUAUGUGCCGGCAGAGACGCUGGCGCAACGAGGUCAGCCUAAAAGGGGGCGAGGAAGAAAGCAGUUCCCGCAUCGCCAGCAGCACCAGCAACACCAUCAAAACCGCGACAAUCAAGGUGUCGAUACCAGCGCCAUCGUGCCUGAUCAGGACGCCUACACCCGCCAAUUGUUGCAGCAACUACAAAUGGAACGCGAAGAGAAAGAGCGGUUCCUGAAAGAGGAAAGAAUGAAGGAGAUUGCGAGGUUGAAUGAGGAGCAGCGAGAGCUGGAGAGGAAGGCUCGUCUUCAGCAGGAAGCUCUGCAAAGAGAACAAGAGCAGCAGAGACUGCGUGAAGCGGAGAAGAAGAGAAAGGAGCUGGAAGAAAUAGAGAAGCAGAGAGAACUGGAAAGGAUCCGCGAGGCCAGAGAGAAGCAGCGAUUAGAGGAGUUAGAACAAAGGAGAUUAGCCGAGAUUCGAGCGAAGGAGGAGAAAAGAAGAGCUGAAGAGGCGGCUAGACGAAGAGAGGCUGAGGAGGCAGCCAGACAAAGAGAGGCUGAAGAGGCGGCCAGACAAAGAGAGGCUGAGCGAUUAGCCGCCUUGGAGAGACAGAAAGAGCAGGAGCUUCAGAGGGCUCUAAAACAGCAGCAGAUUCUGGAGAAACAACGAGAGGACGAGGCGAGACUUAGUCGUACGAGACUGGAAAAUCAGGAUGGUGUUGCGCAAGCUCUCCCUCUGAUCAAGGAUCAACAGCAACAGCUACAUCGCCAACACCUAACCGAAACGUCAAAACCGGCUAAAAGCAAGAUCAGAGGAAGGCCUCGUCAAAGACCACACCAUCAUGAUCAACAGAACUAUCGGGAAACCACCACUACCACCACCCCCUCCCCUAACCAGCCACCUUUAUCGGUGUACAUGGGUAGCUCCAGCUCGAAGACAGCUAACGUGAAAGUAUCGGACGUGUUGAAGCUCUUAAAAGACGCAAAAACCAUCGCUGUUCUGGACACCGUCGGUCCAGACACUCCACAAGUUUUCGUAGGUCCAACGAAUCUUGACCCACCUUCGGGAUACGCCAAGUUUGAUCUUCCGUAUCUGUCCUCCAUCGAUCACAACCGAGUUGAGAGGAAGGUAGACAAAUUGCCUUUCUUCGUGGCGCCGCUUAGCUUCGAUCCUCCGCCAGGAUACUCCAAGAUCCCCUUCCCAGCGCCUCAUAUCGGCUCCGUCGUCGUAAAUACUUUAGACAACACCGAUCCUAAAGACAGCGAUAACCCUAAUCCGAGUCCAACCCCGUUGAUAGAACCUAACUCUUAUCUGGAUGGCCUGAAUAGCGGCUCUGAUUCCUCCACUCCUCUGUACGAGCCACAGACCACCAUCGGCUACUCCCAGGAUCAGGCGAGUACGCCUAAGUAUGAACAAACGUACUCUUCGGCUCCUCCAACCGGGUACUCGGGAUCUAGGUUCAGAUUUAGGCAGUACUACGGCGACAGCAAGCCAGCCUCCGUGAUCACCACCUCCUAUUACGACGAUCAGAGGCCUACGACGAGGAAACAUAAAUACUUUGACGAUAAUUUAAGAACCACCGAGAAUCCUUUGCAGAAUACCAGAGUGGAGACCUCGGUGAGUCAACGAGAAGAGGUUUCCUACUCCACCACGCAAAGAAUUAAGGAUGAGUCGAUUAUUACCGAGGACCCUGCGACCAAGGCUCAGGAUGUAGCCGCUCAGUUGGCUCUCAUUAAUCAGGAACUUGCUCAGCAAAGGGAGGCUCAGAGAUAUAACACGGCAGGACAAUUUAAUCAGUACAACACUCAAUCUACCACUGGUUUAAGUCACAGCUUCGACGGUGAAAUCGCUUCCGGUGAUAUCAAUGAUGUUAGGAGUCCUGUUGGACCUACACAGUAUAGCUUGCCCGCGGAGCUGCCCGCGAUUUCUCCUCAUCUACCUGGUUUGGUCAAUUCUCUGUUAGACAAGAACGAGGCCAAGCUUCAAACUACCAGUACGACGACUUCCACGACUACCACCACCACGACCACUCAACGUACUCCGACGACUACUUACAGGCCACGCAGUAGACAGAGGAACAGAGUUGUUUCCACGAGACCAAGGACGACAACUCAGACGCCCUCCACGAGGACGAAUGCAGACAGAAGUCGGAGGCCGUACAAUAGGUCCAGGUCUAGAUUCACUACCACGACAGAGGACUAUCGCGAAUCUGCAUACGAAGCUACUAAAUCCAGAAUCCCCGAAACUACAGCUAGAUACAAUGCGGAGCAAAGAAGGCCAAGCAGUAGGACGCAGAAACAUAGGAGUCGAGAUAAAGCGAGUCAACAGGCUGAAGUCUUCCAGAGUCAGAACAUCCAACAACCAUACGAAAACGUUCCGAAUGACGCGGUUUCUCCGACGCCAUCGAGCGCCUUCCUACAACCGACGGGUCCAGACUCCAGCCUUCGUCAGUUGGACGCGUCUCCGAAUCCCCCGGAGAAUUAUCCACCCAGCACCAUCAGCACUACCGAGAACUACCCCUCUUUACCAGCAAGUCACGGAUCGCCAUUAAUUUCCGAGGAUUACUCGAGGAGUCAGAACUAUCCCCAAAAUCUUCCCCAGGAUUCGCGCUAUCGCGGAGGAUACGAUCAGAGCGGAUUAGAGCAAGGUGGUCUCGAGAACGCCCCGGUAAAUGGAUUCAAUUAUCAGACGCAAAACAGGGACACCUACGAGCAGGGUAUCCUUCAGAGACCGAAGGACUAUCAGCUAGACGGCAAAGCAGAGAACACUGACUUCGAGUUGGCCACCACUGCGAAUCCACGACUCAGCGCACAGGAAGAGCAACGUUAUUCCUCGGUUUACGAGGUGAACGUACCACAGACGCAGCCGGAGUUUGGUUUGACCGGACAGAAUUUACAUCGUCUCGAGACCGAGAAGAUUCAACCUGGCGCUGCUGACCCCAACGAUCCAGUAUUUGUCCUGCUGCCGGAGAACAAACAGGAGGAUUACGAGCUCUCUGUUUCCUCCACGGAGACUCCCAUCUCUGAUAUCACGACAGAGACAACCACGACGAGUACGACCCCGGUGAUAAUCCGACAACGCGUCCGAGGACGCGUGGGCUCCCGCGUGCACCACGAGCCCUCGGUUCAGACCCGAAACAGAGGCUCCCAGGACGAAUACGUCCGUUUCAACGUAGUGAACCAAGAAUCAACGCGAACGUCUCCCAGACAGCGAAGCAGAACCAGAUCACGAAACCAGAAUCACGGGUCGCAGGUUCAGACCGACGGCAACGAGUACAUCAAAAUCCACGUGGCUCAACAGAAGCAGGUCGCCACCACGACCCCGCAGCCGACUACGACCACCACUACCACCACCACCACUGAACGUCCACCGGAAGAGGAUGUUGAUUACGGAUUUAUCAGACCGCCGAACUUCCGACCGGUACAUCCGGUGGAUAACAGAUUCCCGGCACCUGUUACGUUCCGGCCUCAGCUUUCAGAGCAUCUUCUGCAGGUGCCGCAGCAAUCACUGUUACCCAACGACGAGACCGCAGUGGAAUCGAGUCCCCCGCAGACCCAGCUGUUAAAAACCCGUCAGAAAUAUCAGCAAGCACCUAAUCGUCGCUUGCCUAUAAAAGCCACGACUCUGCCACCUGCGACCACCACUGAAGCCAUCACCACCACAGAAAGAAUACCUGUUGCCACGGUGCUGCCGGAUGACAGUAUAUACACCGUGAAACCAAAGUCCCGAACCGAUGAGCCUAAGCAAGGCAGAGUAAGAAGCAGAGUUCGACGACCAGGUAGAAAGCGCGUUAGCACGAGCACCACGGAAUCGGUACGAGAAGCGCACAACGAGCUGCCGUUGGAUGAAAAUUAUCCUCGAAUUCGUCCUCAGUCGACGACUACCGAACAGCCACAACAAGCAAAUUUGUACGAUGAUAAUUAUGAUGGUGCUCAGUAUUCUUCGUCGCGCAAUCAGGAUAAUCAACAAUUUUAUGAGACGUCCAGUGAGAAUUAUCCCGCCGAGUUCAUCCUGAAUUUCGGCAACUACCCGUCCCAGCACCGCGACGAGUACGACCAAACGCAGCUGGCCAGCGACGUCCCGCGAAAAUACAGUCAAGAAACUGGAGCGAAGGCGAUCUCCGAAGAUUCUCGUUCGACGACGGCAGACAUUUAUGGUUCGGAGAGUCAGUGGUCCACGAAAUUGACCAGGACCUCGUUCCAGCCGAGUUUCGCAGUGAACCGUGUAGCUGGCGAAGCGAAAAAGGAUCGCGAGUGGUUGCACGAGUCAUCGAAGGACGUUCCCGAUAUAAUCACCGCCGCACCAGAGCCAUCGUCUGUCACGCUGCUGGUUUCUUCGGAGGAUAAGACUAGCGAGGAAGCGCAGGACGAGGAGUCGAUGCUAAUGGGUACCACGAUAUUUGGCAGGAAAACGAACACGCAGGAUCACACGGAGAGAAUGAAUGUUAACGAUACCACAACCGAUGCUCCGAUAAUGCGAGAUAUUAAUGGAAGCGAAGCGGAAACGAAUAGGGAACCGCAGGAGCCCUGGUUGAUAGAUAAGGUGGAAAGUUCCACGGAGAAGCGGGGCGAUAUUGAUUUCGAGAAGAGCCUGAAGAAGAGCGGAGAGACCGGUGUUAUUAAAAAGGGUACACGAAGAAGGAGAGUUCGCGUUCGGGUGAGACCAGCCGUAGACGACUUCGUCACAGCCGAGUCCCAGCACUUCAAUUCCGCUUUCAACGGCUUGUUCAGAGAUCAAUACAAGUACAAUCCCAUCCGUGAGUCCAAGCUUCCAACUUCGUCGAAUUCGCCGGACAAGUUCGAUGUCCAAGACUUCGAGAUAUUGAAGAGCAACGAACCGAAGCCUACGACCACCGAAGUACCGGAAGAAGCGUGGACCAUGGCGCCUGCAGUGACAACUCCCAUGAGUAUCCCGGACGAUGAAGAGACUACAACGGAGGAUCAAGUUACUACGCUACCAACGACGGAAGUACCCGAAGAAACCACGGAGUCCUCCUACGAGGACUUCGUCUCUAGGUUGAGUGAGACCAACGAGACGAAGAAGACAAAGAAAGAUAACUGGAGAGAGAAGAGUGUUAGGGUGACCUUGAACCUCGGGUCAAUCGCAGACGCGAUUAAAGAAAACGAUGUCGACAAACUUAGCGACGAAUCGAACGAGUUGAAGGGCGAAGACAUAAGUUUCUCUGGAACUCGUUCCAAGAAUAACUUCGAGAACGAGGAGAAAGAUGUUUCUUCGGAGGAGUCAAAGGAUGGCGACGAUUAUCCAAAGAACCACCGAGCGAAAUGGAGCGAGGUGAGAUAUCCUUCCUCUUACGAUCAUCCCCAAGCAUCCGGUUGGAGCUACGAGCCAAAAAGUAACAGCAAACCUCCCAGCCCUAUUCCUGGACUGGUGACCAAGGAAGGAGACAGCAGCGUGAAGACGCUCUCCGAUUACGUACAAGCGAUUUUCGACACUAUGAAGAGCGCCGAGGAGGAAACGACGACCGCGAACACUGAGGAAUCCACGACCCUUCAGAUUCCGCUCGAUGAUGAGUUCCAGGAGAGAACAACGACGAUGGACGUAGAGGAUAAAACCACUCGGAUCUCCGUUGACGAGGAAGCGCAGACAAAGAGCGACGAGACAGACAGUAAGGAAAUGACCACGGAGUCUUCGACGAACGCGGAUCUGGAGAAUGUAACGACCUUGGAGAAACUCGCCACGACUCCCCAGAGCGUCAGUUCAUCAUCGGAAUCUUCGACAACGGAUCCUACGCCAGCAAGGACAACCACAUCGCCCAGUAACGCAACGGAGUCCAUCCUCGGAAAGAUCCUGCGGACCUCCACGACCACCAAGGUCUCCCACAUGACGGAAAUCUGUUACAGAGGCCGGUGCGUGAUGACCAGGCCCAGUCGAGAAGUUCGUUUAAGAUGAAGAUCAUCUACGUCUAUUCCUCGUUCAUUUCGAAAACGCGGCUAGCAUGGACGCUGACUGAACGGGCCUCGUUGUUCGCCAUCUUCGUAACCGAGUGAUUAUUUAUUCAACGGAAGCUUUUGAUUCUCUAGUGUCAGGGAUGAAUAUGAACAGAUUAGAGUGAAGUUUUUACUACAAGAGUAUGCUAAAUAUUUGUAUGAGUUUGGAAUGGGAGGGGGAUGUGAGGGGUUGAAGCGAAUCGAUUUAAUAAGAGAUGAUUGACUGCAAAUCGAUCGUGACGUGGCUGUUUAUGAAAACGUUUGCUGAACGUUGUCGUGGCAGCUCGGUUCGAAGCGGAAAACGUAGGCCCGACCCAGGCCGCUUUAAACGAUAGGGGGCUAAGUCUAUUUAACUUAAUUACCUGCUGCUGUACUGUUGGUAUACGUGUAAGUUAAGCGUUUAAGUAUUUUCAAUAAAAACACGAAGAAAGCAAGGUCUCCUUUGACCCUCGAUAGUUCUUUGACGAUAA